AGCAUUUCCUUUUCCUCCUCUUCCUGUUCUCAUCAGCGUAUGUCAUGUCUAGGUUUAAUUUGGGGAAAGGAACAAAGCAAGGAAGGGAGGAAACAGAAAAAAACAUGAACAGAGUGACCGAGACUACAAAAGCACCCGCCUGCAGGCAGUGGUCUGCCAACUCAGAAAACACAUCUGGGGCUGGUCGUUCUUCAUCUGCAGUAAAUCUCUAAAAAUAAACUAAAAAGGUCUUCUUUCCUGAAGUUUCUAUAGACUUCGAUAUCAAGAUUCACUAGAUCCUGGAAGUGAAGUGUGAGAGCUGUGAAUAGCACAGCCCAAAACAGCAGGCAGGGCCGAAGAAAAGCAAGUCAGGUCUUGGAUUCCAAUGACCAUUUUCCCCUCAGGUUUUAACUGGCACAUCACUCCUCAGGGGUCGUUAUCUUCAUCUGUAAAAGCAGAAGUGGCAAAUGCAAUUCCACAGGCGUGGGGAUAUGGUGCGGUUCGUUGUAGCAUCAACAAGAAUCCCGUGAAGAAUGCAUGUAUCUGGACGGACAUCCAGUCAGUGAGAGACAGCUCUGAUACAAAGAUUUUACUGUGUUCAUUCCUAUUAAGACACACCCACUCUUCAGCUUGACCUGUGUACCCAACCUCCC
ensembl:lncRNA